CUCUCUGCGAGAGGGAGCCUUUGCUCGGGUGGGGGGGACUCUGACAGCUUGGAGGAGCACAGCCGAGCAAAAAAAAAAAAAGAAAAAGACCGUCCACAAGUUUGCCUCUUGAUCGCCUUCAGAUUAACUUCGCAUGUCCUUGCAGGAUCUGCUGAAGGCCCUCCUCUUAGUGUAUUUGACAGGCUGUGUUGGACACUCGAUAUAAAUGGGUGUCAGUUUGUCAAAUACCCCAAGAGAGGGGUCACUUUUCAUCUGAAAGAAAGAAAUCUCCCAGAAGAGAAAGAGAGAGUGGACAUUUUUCAUCACCACUUGACUGUGAGAGAACACGUGUGGCGACAAUUGGUGUUUGCCACACUUGAUUUAAAUACAUAUCUUUCAAUCUUUCCUUACAGCUUUCAGAAUUGUGUUGUAAGAAGAUCAAUUAGUUAAUGUCAACUGGAAUUGCUAUGUAUUUUAAUUUCAAUGUAUUAAAAUGAUCAAAAGUAACAAGUCAA